GCUUGCUUCAGCAGCCCAGUACUAAGAUUGGAAUAACACAGAGAAGAUCAGCGUGGCUCCUGCGCAAGGACGGCAUGCGAAUUCAUGAAAUGGUCAGUCUGUUG